GAUAAAACAAAAUGGAGAAGAAAAAAUCUUUUUGAUUUUUCUUGAUAUAACGAAAACUUUAAUUGAUUGACAUUGCUCCUCUCCUAUGAAGACUGCUCGGGUGAUGGUUUCAUUCAACGAUCCUUAUUCUGGGUUACUUUUAUUAAUUUGAUGCACACUGAAGUUCCUAAGAAGACAGGCUUCUAAAUACGUUAUGUAAAAAAAUGGUGGAUAUGGGGAUAUUGGAUAUUUCCAAUGAUAUAUGGAAUGAAUGAACUUGCAGUUACCGAGUUGUUAGGGCAUAGUUUUGACAAGUUUUUAGGUUUCAGAGACGGGUCAAAUGAGCCGGAGGGAGUUGCUAACAACUUGAUAGGAUUCGGGAGAACCAUAUAUGUAAUAACCGCAAUGGAAAGGCGUCUAACUAGUAGACAUAGACAAGUACGGGUCGUUCCCACGAGGAGUGGUGGAAAUACUGUAAUCAAUAUUCUCAAUCGACUA